GCCGACGUGGUGAAACUGGUAGACACGCUGUCUUGAGGGGGCAGUGGCGUAAGCCGUGGGAGUUCGAGUCUCCCCGUCGGCACCA
rnacentral:tRNA from 1 species